CCAAGAUCUCCUUGCAGAGAAAGAGCAGUAGGCUGUAGAAUGCUUAUAGCACCUAUAUAUCUUUUAAAAGACUAGGGCUGUACGAUGAAUGUAGUGUGACUUUUACUAUUCUCCAAGCAUAAAAUACAAACAGGUACCACCAGGUGGCAUUGCUGUUCUUAAAGGAACACUAUAGUAUUCACCAUUUACUUGCUUGCCUUGAU